UUGGCACCUCCAUAGUCCCAGAUCUGAAGCUGUUGUCAGCUCAUCUUUGGCUGGACUGAGACCUUUAUUGUACCAGAGGACAUGAUUUCACUUUUUUUUCCCAGACCAAACAAGCAUGUUUGCUUUCUGUAAUAUCUUGAAAUAAUAACUUUGUUAAAGCAAAUUUUGCAUUUCAGAUCUAUUUUUACCUUGCAUGUAAUUUUCUCCAGGUUAGGUGGGAUCUGGUAUUUGCCUGAAUAAGUCUCAAGGCAUCAAGGUCAUUUAUAGACUUUAGUUCAACGAGACACUAAAGCCCUGUUCUCUCUCACAAGUUCACCUUGAACAGGUGAGCUGGGCAGCUUCUUAGAUGAGUUGGAUGUGCUCCUGUUCUGUUCCUUAAAGGCAGCUAACCUGUUUUGUUCGAGGCUAAUGUAGCUUCCAUGUUUUAGCCAUGGUGGCUGAUGUAGACUCCUUCAUUUUGUGGUCAGGAUUUGUCUUGUCUGCUGGUCCUGUGAGGUGUUUUUAACUGGCAUGCUAGGGUUAGCCAGAUGUGCUGGUGGUUCAGAUGCUCUUCAUGUUCCCGGCAGUCACACUGCAUCCCAGCUCUGCUGACUAUCUGGAAUUGUCUUGCUAGUCUGGCACUGCAUAUGGUCCAGCCUUGUUGGCUUCCCUGUGGUUUUCAGGUUUGCUGACUGUACUUUUGCUGGUUCCUUCUGGACGUUUAUUACUCAAGGUAGUUCACUCGCAGCUGGUCAUAUUUGCUUCUGUUCCGGCAUGCAGUGUGUCUGGAUGAUGCUGAAUUUGACUUCACAUUAACAGCCUGCUGCAGUAGUUAGUUUGUCCCUUGAUGUAUGUUUGUGUUAUUUGCAUUGUCCAUAUUUGUUUUUAUUUCAUGUGUGGAAAAUAAAAUAAAAUAAAUAAUGUGAAUUUUUUUCCCUUUUUAGGGGUAGUCUUUUUAGGGGUAGUCUUUUUAGGGGUAGUCUUUUUAGGGGUAGUCUUUUUAGGGGUAGUCUUUUUAGGGGUAGUCUUUUUAGGGGUAGUCUUUUUAGGGGUAGUCUUUUUAGGGGUAGUCUUUUUAGGGGUAGUCUUUUUAGGGGUAGUCUUUUUAGGGG